CACGUAGGCACCAAGCGUUGUCCGGAUUUAUUGGGCGUAAAGAGCUCGUAGGCGGUUCAGUAAGUCGGGUGUGAAAACUUUGGGCUUAACCCCGAGCCUGCAGUCGAUACGGGCAGACUAGAGUGCUGUAGGGGAGACUGGAAUUCCUGGUGUAGCGGUGAAAUGCGUAGAUAUCAGGAGGAACACCGGUGGUGUAGACGGCUCACUGGACCGUAACUGACGCUGAGACACGAAAGCGUGGGUAGCAAACAGG
rnacentral:rRNA from 1 species